rnacentral:rRNA from 1 species
GAUCCUGGCUCAGGACGAACGCUGGCGGCGUGCCUAACACAUGCAAGUCGAACGGAAGUUAGAGCUUCGGUUUUAACUUUAGUGGCGAACGGGUGAGUAACGCGUGAGGAACCUGCCUUUCAGUGGGGGGACAACAGUUGGAAACGACUGCUAAUACCGCAUGACACUUUUGGGAGACAUCUCCUGGAAGUCAAAGCUUUAUGUGCUGAAAGAUGGCCUCGCGUCUGAUUAGCUGGUUGGUGAGGUAACGG